rnacentral:rRNA from 1 species
CGCUGGCGGCGUGCCUAACACAUGCAAGUCGAACGGACUUAAUUUUUCGGAAAUUAAGUUAGUGGCGGACGGGUGAGUAACGCGUGAGAAACCAACCUUUAAGAGGGGGAUAACACCGAGAAAUCGGUGCUAAUACCGCAUAAGACCACAGCACCGCAUGGUGCAGAGGUCAAAGGAGCAAUCCACUUAGAGACGGUCUCGCGUCCCAUUAGCUAGUUGGUGAGAUAACAGCUCACCAAGGCGACGAUGGGUAGCCGGCCUGAGAGGGUGAACGGCCACACUGGAACUGAGACACGGUCCAGACUCCUACGGGAGGCAGCAGUGGGGAAUAUUGGGCAAUGGGGGAAACCCUGACCCAGCAACGCCGCGUGAGGGAAGAAGGUUAUUUGAUUGUAAACCUCUGUCCCAUGGGACGAAUAAAAUGACGGUACCAUGGGAGGAAGCUCCGGCUAACUACGUGCCAGCCGCGGC